GAGAAUUCAAGAUGGUGUUUUGAGGCCUCCCAUGUUAAAAUGCAGCAUUACAAACCAUUGGGAGUAUUUGGAAGUGCAUAUUUGCUGUUGUUUUUGUAUGCCUUCAAGCCGCUUCUGAAUUAUGGUGAGUGUGUCUUCUUACUGUCUCUGGGGCUUUAAAAAGGAAAAAAAUGUUGUAGGCAUUAAGAGAAUGCUAUGAGGAAACCUGUAUUUUCUCUGUAAUUCAGAUAAAGCCUGGUGUCGGAGCCCUCUGCACCAGCUGUGGCAGGCUCUGUGGCUGGUACAUCAUAAUGACAUGAAAAUGAGACUGAGUGACACUGUUAUUAACCUUUGUUCCCUCAAUAAAUCAUAGCAAACAGCAGCAAUUACUCUAGUUUUCUGACAAAUACUACUUACGCAGCAGAUCCCUUCUCUUGUUCUCAGCUCCGGCACUCUCUGUCUUUUAACAACUGGAAGCAAAACCACGCAGCUGCACAUAUCAAUUUGCUGAAAGCAAUGGCAAUAAUUGAGUGCUCUUUCAUAAUGGGCCUAUAACAGACUAGGGAUGGCUCUUAUUUGUACAGAGCUGAGGUGUGGGUGGGGACUGGUGAUGGAAUUCCUGAAAUGCAGAGUGCUGGCACAAGGCUAUGAAAGCCUCCCCUUCCCUAGGGCGUCCAUUGAGGAAGGAUGCUUUUUUGGAGAUCGGAUUUGGACAGGAGGCUUUGGAGCUGGUGGAUCUGGCAUUGAGAGAAGAAUUAUAACUCUUAUCCUGGAGCAAAAAUGCAACUUCAGACUCCAUUUGCAUCACUAAUUUGACUGAAGCGUGAAAGGGGCUGGGUGAAAUGAACCUGGACCUUUGAGGCUGCCAUGUUGUUAAUGUGUUUUCUGCUUCUUACCAAAGACAUCAUCCCUAACCUGGGUGUUUCAUGGUGGAGAACAUCUGACAAGAGAUAUAUUGCUAGCAAUUGUGUUCUCACACUACAAACAGAUGCAGGGCCUUCAUUUUGAGAGGGAUGGGCAUUGCUCUCUCUCAAAUCAGUUAUGAUUAUUGCUCAGAACAGGUUUAUUGUUGAACUCAGAAGUUACUCCUUGAGUUGUGCUGGAGGAACUCAAGAUUUCUAGACAGUACAUUUCUAUAGGAAACUGUGGUCAAUGUCUGGUGGAAAUUGACUAUAGAGUUGCAUCAGAGGACCUAAGGAUUCAAAGAAAGACAAUAUUAGCCAAAUCUGAAAAUGAUAAAAUCCAGGAAAGUGAAAUCCACAAAUGUGGAAGGCCAACUGUUAAUGGACCAGAGCUUUCUCAGUAGCAUCAUACUGGUUGUUAAACUCCUUUUUAUUCUUCUGGCAGGAAAGCAAAACAAUACUGUUGUUCAAUGUGUUUUAAUGUUUUUAAUUGUUCAUCACCUUGGGAUCCUUGUGGGAUGGGAAGUAAUACAGAAAUAUCUCAAAGAAAUAGAAUCAAAGAUAGAUAAAUAGGCAGACAAUAUGAAAUUGGAAAAAUAUGGUUGUUAUUUCUGGUCCUGUGUUGAUAAUUUUCCUAGAGAUGCUGACAGCAUAAGAAUUAGAUAAAUGGGUACUUUAUAUUCAGAAAAUUAAACCAAAAAUGAAAGAAGUUUAAUUUGCUCUCUCUGUUAUGAUACAUCAAUUUGUGUAGUUGUAUAA
rnacentral:lncRNA from 11 species